AGAGUUUGAUCCUGGCUCAGAACGAACGCUGGCGGCAGGCCUAACACAUGCAAGUCGAGCGCACCUUCGGGUGAGCGGCGGACGGGUUAGUAACGCGUGGGAACGUGCCCUUUUCUGCGGAAUAGCCACUGGAAACGGUGAGUAAUACCGCAUACGCCCUUCGGGGGAAAGAUUUAUCGGAGAAGGAUCGGCCCGCGUUAGAUUAGGUAGUUGGUGGGGUAAUGGCCUACCAAGCCUACGAUCUAUAGCUGGUUUGAGAGGAUGAUCAGCAACACUGGGACUGAGACACGGCCCAGACUCCUACGGGAGGCAGCAGUGGGGAAUCUUAGACAAUGGGGGCAACCCUGAUCUAGCCAUGCCGCGUGAGUGAUGAAGGCCUUAGGGUCGUAAAGCUCUUUCGCUGGGGAUGAUAAUGACAGUACCCAGUAAAGAAACCCCGGCUAACUCCGUGCCAGCAGCCGCGGUAAUACGGAGGGGGUUAGCGUUGUUCGGAAUUACUGGGCGUAAAGCGCACGUAGGCGGACUGGAAAGUUAGAGGUGAAAUCCCGGGGCUCAACCCCGGAACUGCCUUUAAAACUAUCAGUCUAGAGUUCGAGAGAGGUGAGUGGAAUUCCGAGUGUAGAGGUGAAAUUCGUAGAUAUUCGGAGGAACACCAGUGGCGAAGGCGGCUCACUGGCUCGAUACUGACGCUGAGGUGCGAAAGUGUGGGGAGCAAACAGGAUUAGAUACCCUGGUAGUCCACACCGUAAACGAUGAAUGCCAGUCGUCGGGUUGCUUGCAACUCGGUGACACACCUAACGCAUUAAGCGCACCGCCUGGGGAGUACGGUCGCAAGAUUAAAACUCAAAGGAAUUGACGGGGACCCGCACAAGCGGUGGAGCAUGCGGCUUAAUUCGAUGCAACGCGAAGAACCUUACCUGGGCUUGACAUAUAGCUGCAUACGACCCGAAAGGGACGUAGCCUUCGAGGGUGCUAUACAGGUGCUGCAUGGCUGUCGUCAGCUCGUG
rnacentral:rRNA from 1 species